GCCCGAGUGGCGGAAUUGGCAGACGCGACGGUCUCAAAAACCGUUGAGGAAACUCGUGCGGGUUCGAGCCCCGCCUCGGGCACCA
rnacentral:tRNA from 1 species